AGAGUUUGAUCCUGGCUCAGGACGAACGCUGGCGGCGUGCUUAACACAUGCAAGUCGAACGGUAAGGCCCUUCGGGGUACACGAGUGGCGAACGGGUGAGUAACACGUGGGUAAUCUGCCCUGCACAUCGGGAUAAGCCUGGGAAACUGGGUCUAAUACCGAAUAGGACCACAGGACACAUGUCCUGUGGUGGAAAGCUUUUGCGGUGUGGGAUGGGCCCGCGGCCUAUCAGCUUGUUGGUGGGGUGAUGGCCUACCAAGGCGACGACGGGUAGCCGGCCUGAGAGGGUGUCCGGCCACACUGGGACUGAGAUACGGCCCAGACUCCUACGGGAGGCAGCAGUGGGGAAUAUUGCACAAUGGGCGAAAGCCUGAUGCAGCGACGCCGCGUGGGGGAUGACGGCCUUCGGGUUGUAAACCUCUUUCACCAUCGACGAAGGUCCGGGUUUUCUCGGGCUGACGGUAGGUGGAGAAGAAGCACCGGCCAACUACGUGCCAGCAGCCGCGGUAAUACGUAGGGUGCGAGCGUUGUCCGGAAUUACUGGGCGUAAAGAGCUCGUAGGUGGUUUGUCGCGUUGUUCGUGAAAUCUCACGGCUUAACUGUGAGCGUGCGGGCGAUACGGGCAGACUUGAGUACUGCAGGGGAGACUGGAAUUCCUGGUGUAGCGGUGGAAUGCGCAGAUAUCAGGAGGAACACCAGUGGCGAAGGCGGGUCUCUGGGCAGUAACUGACGCUGAGGAGCGAAAGCGUGGGGAGCGAACAGGAUUAGAUACCCUGGUAGUCC
rnacentral:rRNA from 1 species